rnacentral:rRNA from 1 species
GAUGAACGCUGGCGGCGUGCCUAAUACAUGCAAGUCGAGCGAACAGACGAGGAGCUUGCUCCUCUGACGUUAGCGGCGGACGGGUGAGUAACACGUGGAUAACCUACCUAUAAGACUGGGAUAACUUCGGGAAACCGGAGCUAAUACCGGAUAAUAUAUUGAACCGCAUGGUUCAAUAGUGAAAGACGGUUUUGCUGUCACUUAUAGAUGGAUCCGCGCCGCAUUAGCUAGUUGGUAAGGUAACGGCUUACCAAGGCGACGAUGCGUAGCCGACCUGAGAGGGUGAUCGGCCACACUGGAACUGAGACACGGUCCAGACUCCUACGGGAGGCAGCAGUAGGGAAUCUUCCGCAAUGGGCGAAAGCCUGACGGAGCAACGCCGCGUGAGUGAUGAAGUUCUUCGGAUCGUAAAACUCUGUUAUUAGGGAAGAACAAAUGUGUAAGUAACUAUGCACGUCUUGACGGUACCUAAUCAGAAAGCCACGGCUAACUACGUG